ACAUACGACCAUACUUGCCAGAAAAUACGGGAUCCCGUCCGCUCUCCCAUCGUCAAGCUCGCAAGGGGUGGAUUAGUAGUUGGGUCGGUGACGACCAGCGAAUACCCGCUGUUGUAUGU
rnacentral:rRNA from 1 species